GGCCAGGUAGCUCAACCUGGGAGAGCGCUCGGCUGAAGACCGAGCUGUUGCAGGUUCAAAUCCUGCCCUGGCCA
rnacentral:tRNA from 1 species